GGCUCAGUGGUCUAGUGGUAUGAUUCUCGCUUCGGGUGCGAGAGGCCGCGGGUUCGAUUCCCGCCUGAGCCC
rnacentral:tRNA from 2 species